AGAGUUUCUUUUAAGAGGACCUUAACCCUCAGUCCACUAGGAAGAUACCCUCUCAACAAAUAUUUUCUGUGUGAAUACUUGGGCAGCUGUGGUCUCAGCACUAUAAUUAUAGGAGUACACAGAACUACUUCUGAGCUGUGCUGGCUGAAGACACUAUUGUUACUGGUCCAGUGUCAGCUGAACAGCAUCAACCAGGAUCUCCAUGCCUGCAGAUCUGCCAAUCAAGCAUCAAAGAUCAGUCAAGAUGUGAAAAAUGAAGCUGUAAGCCAAGUAGAUUGCUUGGGGAACUGGGAGAAAAGAUCUUUCUUCAGGUCCCACCCACAGGAGCACAUUUUCCAAGUGAUGCUAAGCAGAAGUCCGAAGGGGAACAGAAGAAGAGGCCAUACCAAGUUGAGCAAGGCCGUGGGCUGACAUCAUGAGUUGAGCUCAUAACUUGCUGUACCUAAGAGGUAAUCCAUACAUUCUUCACCCCUUUCACAGCUCUCUGCCACUUCCAUCUGGUUGGUCCUGUCAUCCUCUCUUCCCACAGUGAACUGGAGCAGCACUGUUUUUCUGCUUCAGCGAAAGAACUAGUCCCCCUCACAGGCAGGUAAAUACUGCCCUUUCUGCUAGUGUAGGAAGGCUGCUUGCAGAGUCAGACAAGUGCGCUUGCCUGUAAAGGGGUGCAGGAGUGCAAUUUCAGGGUGAUGGGACUUGCCCUGCUCAUGAGAAAGCAGGUGAGUGAUGUAGCUGUGUCUUCCAGUACUGUCGGGAGACAUGGAGGAAGAGCAACAGAGUUAAGACUAUGCACUCAUUUUUCUACAGCCAUCAUGGAAUAAAUCCAGAUCUUACCCCUUGUAAAGCCUACGACUCUCAUCAUAAAACCCUUAAAAGAGCUCAACUUGUUCCUUUGGAAAAGAUGUGCUUGUAAGAAACUUUUAUACUGAGGGAGAUAGAUCAGAGUAUUUAUGGGCUUCUAUAGCCACCCCAAUCUCAGGAGGUAGUCCUUAACUUUAAGCAUAUGUCAGCAUUUCAAAUACACACAUUUAACAGUGAAUUACUGCAAUCUUAGAGAGCCCUAAAGGCUGAGUUGAGGCAGUUCCCAAGAUUUCUAAAUUAUGACUGGGCCAGUGUUUAAUUAAAGGCGCACAAACUUUUCCAAAGUCAGUUCAGUCAGACGUCACAAAUGUUUUUUUAAAUCAAAAUUAAUAUGAAUGCUUUUGCAGGUAGUUUAAUUAAAACUAGUUGUGGAUACAAGAUCAUCGUAUUAACCCUUAGUGAAAUAUUGAUGCAAAAGUAAAGAGAACUUGCAGGAUCAGCAGGUUCCUGAACAUCGUCAAAAUAAUACAUGUAAUUUUUGUUUGACAGAAAUGGAAGUCAAUAUGCAGCCAAAACAGACUACAUAUGAAUUAAAAUGAUACUUUUUAAUUAACACUGACAUUCAGAAUUCCUUAGUGCACAAAAGCUUUGCAUCUUCGGACAUUCUAUAAAAGCUCAUAUCCUUUGCAGAAAAACAGUUUUAAUGAAUAAAAAUACAGGCUGAGCACUAACUCUAAGUGGCAGAGGAAAUAUUUUUGUAUGGGGAGUUUUCUUUAGAGAACUUUUAUGAAGAUUGAAUCUCAGAGUAGCUGAAGAUGAAUCAAGAGAAGGUUUUGAGGCAGGAAAGGUAUUAUGAAAUCUAUACUGAGAUCACUACCUGAAAAAAUUUGAAUAUUGUUGUAAUAUUUAUUCUCACUCAUCUGUGCGUUCUUCCUUUUUCAUAGUAAUGAAGCUGAAUUUAUAGCCAACCUGAUUUUAAAUUGCUUGUGAAAUGUUACAUCAGAAUUAAUAGCAUCACAAUGAGGAACUAUGAUAGUUUUUAUGUUAUAGAAGAAACAGGUUUCUGUGGGAAACAUUUUCACAUUUCCUAAGACAUCUUCCAAAGGAAAUUCAGCUAUAAGGUCAGAAUUUUGAUAUAGCUACUGAAAGCUGGAUGCAGAGAGCUUCAGAGCUCAGAGAGCUGGCUGUUGCUUAUAUCACUCAGGACCCAUGCUGUUCUUGGGAAGUACUGAGAGACUGUCAUUGCAUCCACGUAUUUUUUCCCCUUAAUGUUUCCUCUGUUCGUUCAUCAUUAGAAUAUCCUGGUCUCUCCCCUAUUUCUCUUUUCCUCGAGGAAACAGCCCAAGAAAUACUUUACAUCAGAGCCAUUUUUUGCAUAGUUGUACAGAAAAGGAAAAUAUCAAGAAUCUCUUUCAAACAUCCCCGCCCAACCCAAAUAUUUUCUUAACUUUUAUAUACUUGACAAGUUGACUCUAUUCUGAUACUCAGUCUUCAAUCUUAAUAAAACACAAUUUACUUUUUGCUUCAAGCUGAUCUUCCAAGACGCAUGCAUAGUGAAUGAUAAGAAAUUAUAUGGUUCCCUUCUCUAAACAGUGAUGAAGAUAGAUAGUCAAAGACAUUACUUAUGGAAAACAGCAGACUGUGGGAAACUGGUUUGUUCACGGAAACCUGUUAAAGCUUCAUUACUUAAUUUUAUCUACUCAAUUACUUUGGCAAAUACAUUAGAACGCUGUUCCUUAUUCACAUCAUCUACCACCAGUUGAUGAAAAAAAUUAGGUGACUAAAGAAUUAUGCUUCCCUUAAGACUGUUAAAGCGCAAAUAUACUUCAUUUUGGACCAUGGGACUUUAAUUCUAUUACUGAUGGAAUAUGUUAUUCCUAGGGACAUUUGAUGAAGAGUGCCUUAUAUAAACUGAUACGUUGUAGUGAUAUUUAAACAGAUAUUUAGUGCCUAAGUUUUAUGCAUUUUUUUCUUUUUCUAUGUAUAACUUACCUUUGAUAUUUUUUAAAGCAAGUUAUACAUUUCUUCUUCACAAAACAUCUCUUUUAUUUACAAAAGAUCUUUGGGGAGCAAUUGUAGCAUUUGGAAAUAGAAAACAUUCAAAUCUUGAGGAAUAAUUCACAAAUGAAACUGUUCAUUCCACAAAAGUUAUACAAUACUCGUCCAGCUUGCAUCUAAUUAGAAACAGUCCUAAAACACAGCUGUCAAGAAGAUUAUAACAAUCUAAAAGAACACUACAUUGCAAUCCAUUUCUGCAUCCUGAUCUACCUUUUACUAUUAAGCAAAAAUAGAAGGUAAUGUGAUUCAGAACAAUUCAACAGAAGUAACUAGUAUAUUUCAGUUAACUCUCCAGCUAAAGUGAUUUAUAGAAUUCACUGUCAUUGAAUUUACUGUCUUUCAUCUUAGGCAUAGUUUUUUUGUUUGUUUGUUUGUUUGUUUUAAUUUUUAAGGGGUUGUUGGAUAUGUACUCAAAUGGAAGCCCAAGAAUAGUUACUUUUUUCUUCCCCCAGUGCCACUAGAAAGGCAACUAAUCAUCACAGUUCAGAAGACAACCUAGAUUUAGUGAAGCCAGGCAAACCUUUUCCUCAAUGCACUAGAUAACACUUUUAGCCAAUGAUAGAAAAUGUUUUUCCUCCACAUCCAGCAAAUUUUCCUAAAAAGGAGACUGAAUAGCAAGAAGGAAAGGUGUUCAACAUGCUGAUUUCAUCUCCUCUGAGAACCAACUUCUAUAAGCAGUUACUUCAAGGGUUUCAUGGGGCAAUGGACCUAAAUCACGCAUGUGCAUUGCAGUUAUCUUCUUCAAGACUUAAGCAUGAACAAAUCACACUUAUGAAGUAUAGUUUAGCAGGAAAGGAAAUAUCACACCUCUUAUUAUCUCUGGUGCUAAAUGCACAAGUUUAUGCAUUUUGAAUUUAUAAUCACCCAGCUAUGACUUGAAACCUAUUCCCUUCAUACUGAAUAAGCAAAUGGAAGAAAAAAA
ensembl:lncRNA